AUUGAACGCUGGCGGCAUGCCUAACACAUGCAAGUCGAACGGCAGCACAGUAAAGAUUUCGGUCUUUAUGGGUGGCGAGUGGCGGACGGGUGAGUAAUGCGUAGGAAUCUGUCCUGGAGAGUAGGAUAACCCGAGGAAACUCGGGCUAAUACUGCAUGAUAUCGAGAGAUCAAAGGCAGGGGACCCUUCGGGUCCUUGCGCUCUAGGAUGAGCCUACGUCGGAUUAGCUAGUUGGUGGGGUAAAGGCAUACCAAGGCGACGAUCCGUAGCUGGUCUGAGAGGAUGACCAGCCACACUGGGACUGAGACACGGCCCAGACUCCUACGGGAGGCAGCAGUGGGGAAUCUUGGACAAUGGGGGAAACCCUGAUCCAGCGAUGCCGCGUGUGUGAAGAAGGCCUUCGGGUUGUAAAGCACUUUAGUUGGGGAAGAAAAGUAAUGAGUGAAUAACUGAUUGCUCUGACGGUACCCAAAGAAUAAGCACCGGCUAACUCUGUGCCAGCAGCCGCCGUAA
rnacentral:rRNA from 1 species